rnacentral:rRNA from 1 species
UCAAGCAACUAAGCGCAUACGGUGGAUGCCUUGGCAGUCAGAGGCGAUGAAAGACGUGGAAGCCUGCGAUAAGGUUCGGGGAGCUGGCAAACAAGCUGUGAUCCGGGCAUUUCUGAAUGGGGAAACCCACCGACUUUCGGGUCGGUAUCUUGCACUGAAUACAUAGGUGUAAGAGGCGAACCGGGGGAACUGAAACAUCUAAGUACCCCGAGGAAAAGAAAUCAACCGAGAUUCCCCUAGUAGCGGCGAGCGAACGGGGACCAGCCCUUAAGCGUGUGACAGAUUAGACGAACAGACUGGGAAGUCUGGCCAUAGCGGGUGAUAGCCCCGUAGUCGAAAAUCUGAUCACGUGAAAUCGAGUAGGUCGGGGCACGAGAAACCUUGACUGAAGACGGGGGGACCAUCCUCCAAGGCUAAAUACUCCUGACUGACCGAUAGUGAACCAGUACCGUGAGGGAAAGGCGAAAAGAACCCCUGUGAGGGGAGUGAAAUAGAUCCUGAAACCGUAUGCGUACAAGCAGUCGGAGCGGACUUGUUCCGUGACGGCGUACCUUUUGUAUAAUGGGUCAGCGACUUAUGUUCAGUGGCGAGGUUAACCGUUUAGGGGAGCCGUAGGGAAACCGAGUCUGAAUAGGGCGAUUUAGUCGCUGGGCAUAGACCCGAAACCGGGCGAUCUAUCCAUGAGCAGGUUGAAGGUGCCGUAACAGGCACUGGAGGACCGAACCCACUGUCGUUGAAAAGCCAGGGGAUGACUUGUGGAUCGGAGUGAAAGGCUAAUCAAGCCCGGAGAUAGCUGGUUCUCCCCGAAAGCUAUUUAGGUAGCGCCUCGGACGAAUACCACAGGGGGUAGAGCACUGUUUCGGCUAGGGGGUCAUCCCGACUUACCAACCCGAUGCAAACUCCGAAUACCUGUGAGUACUAUCCGGGAGACACACGGCGGGUGCUAACGUCCGUCGUGAAGAGGGAAACAACCCAGACCGCCAGCUAAGGUCCCCAAGUACCAGUUAAGUGGGAAACGAUGUGGGAAGGCUCAGACAGCUAGGAGGUUGGCUUAGAAGCAGCCAUCCUUUAAAGAAAGCGUAAUAGCUCACUAGUCGAGUCGGCCUGCGCGGAAGAUGUAACGGGGCUCAAACUGGUCACCGAAGCUGCGGCUGCAUACUUUGUAUGCGGGGUAGGGGAGCGUUCUGUAAGCCUGCGAAGGUGUGUUGAGAAGCAUGCUGGAGGUAUCAGAAGUGCGAAUGCUGACAUGAGUAACGACAAUGCGGGUGAAAAACCCGCACGCCGGAAGACCAAGGGUUCCUGCGCAACGCUAAUCGGCGCAGGGUGAGUCGGCCCCUAAGGCGAGACCGAAAGGUGUAGUCGAUGGGAAACGGGUUAAUAUUCCCGUACCUUGGAUAGCUGCGAUGGAGAGACGGAGAAGGCUAGGUGAGCCGGGCGACGGUUGUCCCGGUUUAAGCGAGUAGGGAGUGGACUUAGGCAAAUCCGGGUCCACAAUCUCGAGACGCGACGACGACUGCUCUUAGAGCGGGAAGUCAUUGAUGCCAUGCUUCCAGGAAAAUCUUCUAAGCUUCAGGCUAUUCGAGACCGUACCCCAAACCGACACAGGUGGUCAGGUAGAGAAUACCAAGGCGCUUGAGAGAACUCGGGUAAAGGAACUAGGCAAAAUGGUGCCGUAACUUCGGGAGAAGGCACGCUGGUGGUAAGUGAAAUCCCUGCGGGUGGAGCUGAAGCCAGUCGAAGAUACCAGGCCCCUGCGACUGUUUAUUAAAAACACAGCACUGUGCAAACACGAAAGUGGACGUAUACGGUGUGACGCCUGCCCGGUGCCGGAAGGUUAAUUGAUGGGGUUAGCGCUUGCGCGAAGCUCUUGAUCGAAGCCCCGGUAAACGGCGGCCGUAACAAUAACGGUCCUAAGGUAGCGAAA